AACGAACGCUGGCGGCAUGCCUAACACAUGCAAGUCGAACGGGAUCCUAGCUUGCUAGGUGAGAGUGGCGGACGGGUGAGUAACACGUGGGAAUCUGCCUUUUGGUUCGGGAUAACCGCGGGAAACUGCGGCUAAUACCGAAUGCCCUCGAGAGAGGAAAGAUUUAUCGCCAGAAGAGGAGCCCGCGUCCGAUUAGGUAGUUGGUGGGGUAAAGGCCUACCAAGCCGACGAUCGGUAGCUGGUCUGAGAGGAUGAUCAGCCACACUGGGACUGAGAUACGGCCCAGACUCCUACGGGAGCAGCAGUGGGGAAUAUUGGACAAUGGGGGCAACCCUGAUCCAGCAAUGCCGCGUGAGUGAUGAAGGCCUUAGGGUU
rnacentral:rRNA from 1 species